rnacentral:rRNA from 1 species
GAUGAACGCUGGCGGUAUGCUUAACACAUGCAAGUCGAACGGACUCUUCGGAGUUAGUGGCGGACGGGUGAGUAACGCGUGAGAAUCUGGCUUUGGGUUCGGGACAACCACUGGAAACGGCGGCUAAUACCGGAUGUGCCGAGAGGUAAAAGAGAAAUUGCCUGAAGAUGAGCUCGCGUCUGAUUAGCUAGUUGGUGAGGUAAAGGCUCACCAAGGCAGCGAUCAGUAGCUGGUCUGAGAGGAUGACCAGCCACACUGGGACUGAGACACGGCCCAGACUCCUACGGGAGGCAGCAGUGGGGAAUUUUCCGCAAUGGGCGAAAGCCUGACGGAGCAAUACCGCGUGAGGGAAGAAGGCUCUUGGGUUGUAAACCCCUUUUCUUAGGGAAGAACAAAAUGACGGUACCUAAGGAAUCAGCAUCGGCUAACUCCGUG